CACCGGAAAUCUCCUCCAGUGAU
rnacentral:snRNA from 1 species